rnacentral:rRNA from 1 species
GACAGAGGGUGCAAACGUUGUUCGGAAUUACUGGGCGUAAAGCGUGUGUAGGCUGCUACAUAAGUCGGAUGUGAAAGCCCCGGGCUCAACCCGGGAAGUGCACUCGAUACUGCGGUGCUCGAGUACUGGAGAGGAGAUUGGAAUUUACGGUGUAGCAGUGAAAUGCGUAGAUAUCGUAAGGAAGACCAGUGGCGAAGGCGAAUCUCUGGACAGUUACUGACACUGAGGCACGAAGGCCGGGGGAGCAAACGGG